rnacentral:rRNA from 1 species
UUCUAGUGGCGGACGGGUGAGUAACGCGUGGGUAACCUGCCUUAUACAGGGGGAUAACAGUCAGAAAUGGCUGCUAAUACCGCAUAAGCGCACAGAGCCGCAUGGCUCAGUGUGAAAAACUCCGGUGGUAUAAGAUGGACCCGCGUUGGAUUAGCUAGUUGGUGGGGUAACGGCCCACCAAGGCGACGAUCCAUAGCCGGCCUGAGAGGGUGAACGGCCACAUUGGGACUGAGACACGGCCCAGACUCCUACGGGAGGCAGCAGUGGGGAAUAUUGCACAAUGGGGGAAACCCUGAUGCAGCGACGCCGCGUGAAGGAAGAAGUAUCUCGGUAUGUAAACUUCUAUCAGCAGGGAAGAUAGUGACGGUACCUGACUAAGAAGCCCCGGCUAACUACGUGCCAGCAGCCGCGGUAAUACGUAGGGGGCAAGCGUUAUCCGGAUUUACUGGGUGUAAAGGGAGCGUAGACGGUGUGGCAAGUCUGAUGUGAAAGGCAUGGGCUCAACCUGUGGACUGCAUUGGAAACUGUCAUACUUGAGUGCCGGAGGGGUAAGCGGAAUUCCUAGUGUAGCGGUGAAAUGCGUA